rnacentral:tRNA from 1 species
GGGCAAGUGGCGGAAUGGUAUACGCGUUAGUCUCAAAAACUAAUGGUCGCAAGGUCAUGUGGGUUCGACUCCCACCUUGCCCA